rnacentral:rRNA from 1 species
GACGAACGCUGGCGGCGUGCCUAAUACAUGCAAGUCGAACGAGACUUUCCUUGGUGGUAACACCUUUGAUUGUCUAGUGGCGAACGGGUGAGUAACACGUGAGAAACCUGCCCUGAAGACGGGGAUAACAGGAGGAAACUUCUGCUAAUACCCGAUACCCCCACCGGAUCGCAUGGUCUGGUGAGGAAAUGGAUUCCGCUUCAGGAGGGUCUCGCGGCCUAUCAGCUUGUUGGUGAGGUAACGGCUUACCAAGGCUUGGACGGGUAGCUGGUCUGAGAGGACGAUCAGCCACACUGGGACUGAGACACGGCCCAGACUCCUACGGGAGGCAGCAGUAAGGAAUAUUGCGCAAUGGGCGAAAGCCUGACGCAGCAACGCCGCGUGCGGGAUGAAGGCCCUCGGGUUGUAAACCGCUUUCAGUAGGGAAGAAAAUGACGGUACCUACAGGAGAAGCCCCGGCCAACUACGUGCCAGCAGCCGCGGUCACACGUAGGGGGCGAGCGUUGUCCGGAUUUAUUGGGCGUAAAGAGCUCGUAGGCGGUUUCGUAAGUCGGAUGUGAAAACUCCAGGCUCAACUUGGAGACGCCAUUCGAUACUGCGAUGACUUGAGUCCGGUGGGGGAGUGUGGAAAUCCUGGUGUAGCGGUGAAAUGCGCAGAUAUCAGGAGGAACACCGGCGGCGAAGGCGGCACUCUGGGCCGGUACUGACGCUGAGGAGCGAAAGCGUGGGUAGCAAACAGGAUUAGAUACCCUGGUAGUCCACGCCGUAAACGGUGGGCACUAGGUGUGGGAAUCACUCAACGGA